UACGUAGGGUGCGAGCGUUGCCCGGAUUUAUUGGGCGUAAAGGGCGCGCAGGCGGCCACGCACGUCCGUUGUGAAAUCGCCCGGCUCAACUGGGCGGGGUCAGCGGAUACGGCGUGGCUGGAGCAAGCUAGGGGGCAAUGGAAUUCCCGGUGUAGUGGUGGAAUGCGUAGAUAUCGGGAGGAACACCAGUGGCGAAGGCGGUUGCCUGGAGCUUUGCUGACGCUGAGGCGCGAAAGCGUGGGGAGCGAACGGG
rnacentral:rRNA from 1 species